UACGUAGGGUGCAAGCGUUGUCCGGAAUUAUUGGGCGUAAAGAGCUCGUAGGCGGUCUGUCGCGUCUGCUGUGAAAACUCAGGGCUUAACCCUGAGCUUGCAGUGGGUACGGGCAGACUAGAGUGCGGUAGGGGAGACUGGAAUUCCUGGUGUAGCGGUGAAAUGCGCAGAUAUCAGGAGGAACACCGGUGGCGAAGGCGGGUCUCUGGGCCGUAACUGACGCUGGAGGAGCGGAAAAGCAUCGGGGAGCGAACAGG
rnacentral:rRNA from 1 species